CCUGUGACAGCAUUUUCAUUUUUUUUUUUCCUAACGCCUCCUGAAAUUUCACAUUUCAAAGAAAAAAAAGUGCCUUUGCUCCAGGAAAUCUCCAACUUAAAAUGCCCGCAGUUGCUCUAAAAGGAGAGAGACUGGGUCUAUGCCAGAGUUUCACCAACAUUCUUACAGCAAUACAUCUCUGCAAAAAAAAGUGGAAAAGUAGAAGGAAACCUUCUUAUGAGGAAGAUAUUCUUCCCCUGGGGUCAGCUCUCCAGGGAUAUAUGAGCCACCCUCCACAGCAUCUGCUUCCUGACCCUAAGGAGGUCCCUUGGAUUGCCCAUAGCUCCCUAAUAUCACACAACUUGAUACUCCAGUCCAGGACAGCAUAUGAUGACUUUGUCCAUGGGAUCUUCUCUACCUGAAAAUGAGCCUGGAGUCGCUUUCUAAGGACACUCUUCCUUCAAGAUCUCUCCUUGCUGAGCCCUAUCUCAAAGGCCCAAUUCCUUCAGCCUUUGCAACUCAGCCCUAUAUGACCCCUCCUUAAAAGCUUUUGUAUCAUAUAUCUAGAAAUACUAUGGCUCCUCUUUUUGGCUCCUUUGAGAUAUGGCUCCCUGGAAUAUUAUUUUUGACCCUCCAGAGCUUUUCUGUUCCUCAAGCCUUGGCCUGAGCACAGCCUGUGUCUUGCCUCUAUCACCUGCUGCAGAACUACAGAGGUCCUGGCUUUCUGUCCAGAAAUAUUGCAGUCUCUUUGCAAAGUUUCUGGAGUGCAGGGAACUUGAACAGGGCCGUUGAAAAGUGGACCCCAAUGGCAGACAACUGGAAUAGCCAUUUGGUAUCAGAGGAAGGAAUUUGUGGGGGUCUUUCUGGAUGUGAUGGCUGAACCAAGUAGAAUACCUCUUCUCUUUCGUGUAAAGGAUUCCUGCACCUCCUGACUGACAGAGAGCUUUGGGCUUUCUCUUAUCUAAUCCAGUUACAAACAAGAAGGAAGUAGAAGUGAGAAACAAAGGGUACUACUGGGAAACAGAAACAGGAGGAUUAGCACUGUGGCCACUCAGUGAAGAAAUGGGAAAAACAUGGAAAGAUCUUGUAGAAUGUAACCUACUAGCAGGAGUACGACUUUUGUAGAGUUUGUUUGAGUGUAAGGUGCAUGGUGAGAGUUUUUAUUCCUUUAGGAAUUAUUUUCCAAAAUUCAGCUUUCUGAAUUGAAGGCAGAACUGACCCCUGUGUCUUUUCCUACCUUAAACUUAUCAUUGUCACAGCCCGGAUCUGGGUAAAACCAAUAUAUAUGACUUCAUACAUUGACCAGCAAUGUUCAUUUCCCUAGCCCUUGCUGAGACAGCCC
rnacentral:lncRNA from 1 species